rnacentral:rRNA from 1 species
UACGUAGGGUGCAAGCGUUGUCCGGAAUUAUUGGGCGUAAAGAGCUCGUAGGCGGUCUGUCGCGUCUGCUGUGAAAACUCAGGGCUUAACCCUGAGCUUGCAGUGGGUACGGGCAGACUAGAGUGCGGUAGGGGAGACUGGAAUUCCUGGUGUAGCGGUGAAAUGCGCAGAUAUCAGGAGGAACACCGGUGGCGAAGGCGGGUCUCUGGGCCGUAACUGACGCUGGAGGAGCGGAAAGCCAUGGGAGCGAACAGG